CGGCUGGCGCAGGCCCCACUUACUCUGGGGGAUAGAGGCGCAGCUCCUCGAUAUCUCCCAGAAAGCCGAACAGAGUCCGCAUCUGCUCACUGGUGACCGCCGAGGACAGUGGAGGGUACCAGAAAAAGGACCUCUAAAACUUGCAAAUAGAAAAGUUCUGUGAUGUCAGAUCUGACUGGGAUAACCUCCUUCAGUGGAGUCAACUAUCAACAUUCUCAUACAACUUUAAGGAUGGCUACGACACUGGUCAAGUGUCCUGUUAGCCUGUUUCCCUAAGAAAGUAAGGCUUAUAUAAUCCCAUUGUCCCUUUCCCUGACCCCUUCCCACACAGCUUAUGAGCUCAUUAGACAACUUCAAACAAAUCUGAUACAGAAGAGGUCUGAGAGGUACCGACCUACUGCCGAAGAGAACUGCAGAGCUGCAGUCCAGAAGCCAUGGUUCCUGAAGCAACCUACUUGGCUCACCCGCUGCAGAUGGGGCACAGCCAGGAGGUACCUGCUGUGACCAGCCAGGUAUCAGCCUGCCAAGAGGCAGCUUGUGUCCAGCCUGUCAGCUGGGGAGGGGCAGCACAGGCUGGCAGGAAUGGCCGGGCCGGGGGGGAUGUAACUGCAAGAUGUGGCCCUGGAGAGAGCUUGGGAGGGGCAACUGCUGGUGUCCAGACAACACAUUAUUCAGAACGCCGUGUGUGAAUGACCACCGUGUUAGGUGUAAGAAAAUGAAAAGCAUCAUCCCAGGAUGUAAGAACGCUUCUGGAAAAGGUGUUGGUAAUCUAUCUAAAAAUUAAACAUUCUGCUUUUAGAAAAGGGUCAAACUAAAAAUGAACGGGUAUACCACAUAGGCUAGUUAAUUAGAUGACC